rnacentral:rRNA from 1 species
UACAGAGGUCCCGAGCGUUGUUCGGAUUCACUGGGCGUAAAGGGUGCGUAGGCGGUUCUGAAAGUCUGAUGUGAAAUCUCCAGGCCCCAACCUGGAAAUGGCAUUAGAAACUACAGGGCUAGAGGCUUGGAGGGGGAACUGGAAUGCGUCGGUGUAGCAGUGAAAUGCGUAGAGAUCGAGCGGAACACCAGUGGCGAAGGCGAGUUCCUGGACAAGUCCUGACGCUGAGGCACGAAAGCCAGGGGGAGCAAACAGGG